UCCGCGGGAAGGUGACCUCUGGAGUGGUCCCAGGCUGCACCCAUGGCAGAAGGAGAGCACAAACCCCACGAAGUGGUGAAGUUCAUGGACGUGUACCAGCGCAGCUACUGCCGUCCCAUUGAGACCCUGGUGGACAUCUUCCAGGAGUAUCCUGACGAGAUCGAGUACAUCUUCAAGCCAUCCUGCGUGCCCCUGAUGCGGUGUGGGGGCUGUUGUAAUGACGAGGGCCUGGAGUGCGUGCCCACCGAGGAGUUCAACAUCACCAUGCAGAUUAUGCGGAUCAAACCUCAUCAAGGCCAGCACAUAGGGGAGAUGAGCUUCCUACAGCACAGCAAAUGUGAAUGCAGACCAAAGAAAGAUAGAGCAAGGCAAGAAAAAAAAUCAAUUCGAGGAAAGGGAAAGGGGCAAAAAAGAAAGCGCAAGAAAGCCCGGUAUAAACCCUGGAGCGUUCCCUGUGGGCCUUGCUCAGAGCGGAGAAAGCAUUUGUUUGUACAAGAUCCGCAGACGUGUAAAUGUUCCUGCAAAAACACAGACUCGCGUUGCAAGGCGAGGCAGCUUGAGUUAAACGAACGUACUUGCAGGAGCAGCACAGCGAAUGAUCACCUCUCGCCACCCAGCAGCCUGGUACCGGGGGCCCGCUGCGGCCAGCAUGCUGAAGAAACAAGGCCUGGAGGGAGGGCAUGGUGAAGGGAGAUGUGUCCCUCACGGCCUCGCCGGAGCAGCCCCUCCCUUUCAGCUGGCCCUAGCCCUGGGUCAGGGUGCUCUCCCCACUCUCUUCCGCAAGCCAGCCCCAUAGAGGCAGAGCUGAAGCCCCUCUCUCUGCGGGCACUCUUUGCUGACUAACUCGGUCCACCUCUGGUCACCAUCAGCUCUUAAAUGCCAAAUGUGACAAGCCCAGGCGGUGAGCCGGGCUGGAAGAAGGAGCCUCCCUCAGGGUUUCGGGAACCAGACCUCUCACCAGGAAAGCCUGAUUCAGAACGCUACAGAAACCACGCCGCUGCCCCCACCACACCAACCAUCGCCAUCACCAGAACAAUCCUGAAUCCAGAAACCUGAAAUGAAGGAAGAGGAGACUCUGCGCAGAGCACUUUGGGUCCGGAGGGCGCGACUCCGGCAGAAGCAUUCCCGGGCAGGUGACCAAGCACGGUCCCUCUUGGAAUUGGAUCGCCAUUUUAUUUUUCUUGCUGCUAAAUCACCGAGCCCGGAAGAUUAGAGAGUUUUAUUUCUGGGAUUCCUGUAGACACACGCACCCACAUACAUACACAUACAUACAUUUAUAUAU